UACGUAGGGUGCGAGCGUUAAUCGAAAUUACUGGGCGUAAAGCGUGCGCAGGCGGUUUUGUAAGCCAGAUGUGAAAGCCCCGGGCUCAACCUGGGAAUGGCAUUUGGGACUGCAAGGCUGGAGUUUGGCAGAGGAGACUGGAAUUCCUGGUGUAGCAGUGAAAUGCGUAGAUAUCAGGAGGAAUACCGAUGGCGAAGGCAGGUCUCUGGGCUAUAACUGACGCUCAUGCACGAAAGCGUGGGGAGCAAACAGG
rnacentral:rRNA from 1 species